GACGGUUUUGCUGCCACUUAUAGAUGGAUCCGCGCCGCAUUAGCUAGUUGGCAAGGUAACGGCUUACCAGGGCAACGAUGCGUACCCGACCUGAGAGGGUGAUCGGCCACACUGGAACUGAGACACGGUCCAGACUCCUACGGGAGGCAGCAGUAGGGAAUCUUCCGCAAUGGGCGAAAGCCUGACGGAGCAACGCCGCGUGAGUGAUGAAGGUCUUCGGAUCGUAAAACUCUGUUAUUAGGGAAGAACAAUUGUGUAAGUAACUAUGCACGUCUUGACGGUACCUAAUCAAAAAGCCACGGCUAACUACGUGCCAGCAGCCGCGGUAAUACGUAGGUGGCAAGCGUUAUCCGGAAUUAUUGGGCGUA
rnacentral:rRNA from 1 species